CCUACGGGGGGCAGCAGUGAGGAAUAUUGGUCAAUGGUCGGGAGACUGAACCAGCCAAGCCGCGUGAGGGAUGAAGGUACAGAGUAUCGUAAACCUCUUUUGUCAGGGAACAAAGGCGGGGACGCGUCCCCGGAUGAGUGUACCUGAAGAAAAAGCAUCGGCUAACUCCGUGCCAGCAGCCGCGGUAAUACGGAGGAUGCGAGCGUUAUCCGGAUUUAUUGGGUUUAAAGGGUGCGCAGGCGGUCUGCUAAGUCAGCGGUAAAAGCCCGGGGCCAAACCCCGGCCCGCCGUUGAAACUGGCAGUCUCGAGUUGGAGAGAAGUAUGCGGAAUGCGCGGUGUAGCGGUGAAAUGCAUAGAUAUCGCGCAGAACUCCGAUUGCGAAGGCAGCAUGCCGGCUCCACACUGACGCUGAGGCACGAAAGCGUGGGUAUCGAACAGGAUUAGAUACCCCAGUAGUC
rnacentral:rRNA from 1 species